UGCCGGGUCGGCUAAUGGUAGGCCGUUUGGCUCUGAACCAAAAAAUUGGGGUCCGAUUCCCUGCCCGGCAG
rfam:Candidatus Azambacteria bacterium RIFCSPLOWO2_02_FTLL_44_14 rifcsplowo2_02_scaffold_5185, whole genome shotgun sequence.